rnacentral:rRNA from 1 species
ACGAAUCCCUUCGGGGAUUAGUGGCGGACGGGUGAGUAGCGCGUGAGAAUCUGCCUUCAGGUUCGGGACAACCACUGGAAACGGUGGCUAAUACCGAAUGUGCCGCAACGUGAAAGAUUUAUCGCCUGAAGAUGAGCUCGCGUCCGAUUAGCUAGUUGGUGAGGUAAAAGCUCACCAAGGCGACGAUCGGUAGCUGGUCUGAGAGGAUGACCAGCCACACUGGGACUGAGACACGGCCCAGACUCCUACGGGAGGCAGCAGUGGGGAAUUUUCCGCAAUGGGCGCAAGCCUGACGGAGCAAGACCGCGUGAGGGAGGAAGGCCCAAGCGGUUGUAAACCUCUUUUCUCAGGGAAGAAGAAAGUGACGGUACCUGAGGAAUCAGCCUCGGCUAACUCCGUGCCAGCAGCCGCGGUAAUACGGAGGAGGCAAGCGUUAUCCGGAAUUAUUGGGCGUAAAGCGUCCGUAGGUGGUUAUGUAAGUCUGCUGUCAAAGCACAGGGCUUAACCCUGUAAAGGCAGUGGAAACUACAAGACUCGGGUGCGGUAGGGGCAGAGGGAAUUCCCAGUGUAGCGGUGAAAUGCGUAGAGAUUGGGAAGA